AGAUCUGCUGAGUAGUAGU
rnacentral:snRNA from 1 species